CCUACGGGAGGCAGCAGUGAGGAAUCUUCCACAAUGGGCGAAAGCCUGAUGGAGCAACGCCGCGUGCAGGAUGAAGGCCUUCGGGUUGUAAACUGCUUUUAUAAGUGAGGAAUAUGACAGUAGCUUAUGAAUAAGGAUCGGCUAACUACGUGCCAGCAGCCGCGGUCAUACGUAGGAUCCGAGCGUUAUCCGGAGUGACUGGGCGUAAAGAGUUGCGUAGGCGGUUUGUUAAGUGAAUAGUGAAAUCUGGUGGCUCAACCAUACAGGCUAUUAUUCAAACUGGCAAACUCGAGAGUGGUAGAGGUCACUGGAAUUUCUUGUGUAGGAGUGAAAUCCGUAGAUAUAAGAAGGAACACCGAUGGCGUAGGCAGGUGACUGGACCAUUUCUGACGCUAAGGCACGAAAGCGUGGGGAGCGAACCGGAUUAGAUACCCGGGUAGUCCACGCCGUAAACGAUGGAUACUGGCUGUUGGAGGUAUCGACCCCUUCAGUAGCGAAGCUAACGCGUUAAGUAUCCCGCCUGUGGAGUACGGUCGCAAGACUAAAACAUAAAGGAAUUGACGGGGACCCGCACAAGCGGUGGAUCGUGUUCUUUAAUUCGAUGCUAAACGAAGAACCUUACCAGGGCUUGACAUCCAGGGAAUUUUUGGGAAACCAAUUAGUGCCUUUUGGAACCCUGUGACAGGUGAUGCAUGGCCGUCGUCAGCUCGUGUCGUGAGAUGUUUGGUUAAGUCCAUCAACGAGCGCAACCCUUGCAACUAGUUGGAUUUUUCUAGUUGGACUGCUUCGGUAACGGAGAGGAAGGAGGGGAUGAUGUCAGGUCAGUAUUUCCCUUACGUCCUGGGCUAGAAACACGAUACAAUGGCUAGUACAAUGCGCAGCAAAGCCGCGAGGUGGAGCAAAUCGCAUCAAAGCUAGUCCCAGUUCGGAUUGGAGGCUGAAACUCGCCUCCAUGAAGUCGGAAUCGCUAGUAAUCGCAGAUCAGCAAGCUGCGGUGAAUACGUUCCCGGGUCUUGUACACACCGCCCGUCAAACCAUGAAAGUGACCAACACCCGAAGUCCGAUUCGUCGGCCUAAGGUGGGGGGCAUGAUUGGGGUUAAGUCGUAACAAGGUAUCCGUACCGGAAGGUGCGGAUG
rnacentral:rRNA from 1 species